rnacentral:lncRNA from 1 species
CUGGAGCCCUGGCAUGAAUCCUACAAGGACAGGAACUUCCCCUCCCACCACUGGCCCCAACCUGGAUCCCUGCAGGGUUUCAACAAAAUACGUGGAUCUAGCAUAUUAAAGAUCAGCAAAGCCUAUGUCUUCCAAACGCCACUCUGAACAUUACUGGUUUUCACUGGCCUGCUGUGAAAUGAGAAAAAUAAUGACAAUGUGGGCGAGAAGGGUGAGAGGCUUAAUUGCUGGAACUGCAGUGCUGUGUAAGUGCUCCUGUCCCAUCGUGCUGCAUCCUCGGAGCUUUCCCUCACAAAGGCUGCUCAGCAGGUCCUGCAAUAGCUGGUGGGAAACCACGAGGAGGGAUGCUCCAACUUACCAAGUAUUUCCCUGGGAGUUCCUAAUUUCAAUGAGAAGAAUAUUCUCUAAUUAAAAUGCCGCUGCAGAAUCUUUUUUAAAACAAAUUGCCAUCUAAUUUCCCUUUGAUCUUUUUUUUUUUUCCACUUGGGUUGCAAGGUUUUAAGAAUUUUCCCCAAACACUUUGAGUCUACAGUAAUUUUAUUUCAUUCUAAUUAAACUUCAAAGGACAAAAUGCCAAGCCACCAGAAAAAGCUAAGCUUUUUUCUGCUUCACUGGUGCAAGAAGCAUUUUCGGGACAUCUACGCUGUGCCUGACAUUGUGCUGGGUGUUGGAGAGACAAAGAUGGAUAAAUACGACUCGGUCCUUGCGCUUGCUGGGUCCACUGUUUCCAGGACACCAUCAAGCCAUAAACAGAACAUUGUAAUGCAAUGUGGUGACCACAGAAACACCAUCACACAGCCAUUUUAUAUAGGGCUUUGUGGGAGCAAAAUGGCAGCCCUGGCUGAGCUGACACUUUAAAUGAAAUUUAAAGGAUGACUACAAUUUAGCCAAAUGAGAGCAUGAAGGACACGCCAGUCAGAGGAGACAACAUAAGCUCAGGUCCGGGGGUGGGAAAUGGCAUUGAUGUGGAUCAAGGCUGCCCCAGGGAGAGAAGCCCAAGGCGUCCCAGCCUGCAUGCCGAUCUAUAUCAUCCUCCA